AUCCUUAAAGGUUGUUUAUGGUGGUUCUCACUGCUUAUAACAGUGAGGUCGUAGCCCCAAGAAAAAUAAGACACGUGCAUUCAAUUUAUUUGCCUCCUUGUUUUUGUUUUUGUUCAAGUGACCUUUAUAAGCAAUCGACCAUCGAAUGAAGUUGUUUCAGGGUAAUAUGCUUUCCUCAAAUAGUAUUUUACUUAAAAACAUCAUAUAAUUGAAUAUGAGAGUGGGGGAAGACAAGGUUGUAGAUGAGGGGUUGGUGGUUGUGUGGGUGGCAAAAGAAGCGUAUGGAAAUACAUUAAACAAGUCAACAUUGUGUGUGUUAAAAACUCUCUGUAAAAAAAAAAAAAAAAAGUUGAGAGCCUGUCCUAUAGUGUAAGAUACUUUAUAAGGCUUUGAACACAGGGCAAAUCCUUUUUGUGAGGAAUAAUUUUUGGAGAAAAAUACCUUCUAUUUGGGCAUAUAACAUAUACACACGUCUCCACCCUUCUUGUUGCUAUCAGCUUCUAGCCUCCAGAAAAACGUCUCAAAUAUUCAUUGAUGUUCUAGACUCUGAGUUCCUUGAGGGCAACACUUUAAUUUUUACUAUCCUCAGAACAUGGUAUGGGGCCUAGCCUGAAGUGAGUCCUCAUUAAACAUUUGUUGAAUGAAUGAAUGGAUGAGUAAGUGAAUGAAGGCACGCAUGCACGGGUCAAUGAUGGUCAGUGACUUGUCCACGAUUAGACAGCAGUUAAGUUGCAGAGCCAUGACUGGCCUCAGGUCCUCUCACCCCUGCUCCAUUUCUUAUCCCCAUCCCUCCAGGGCUGUGUUACUCCCUGUCAUGCCUGGGCCCUUUCUAUCGCCACUCCCUGGCUUCUGACCAGCUUUCACACACAGGCAGAGUCGAGCUGUGUUGGCCACUGCUGCGGCCACUCACCACCGUGUAUGUUAUGUGUUCUGAGUGCAAAACGCACACCGAUUUCAAACACUUAGUACACACAAAAAAGAAUGUAAAGUAUCCCAUUAACAAUUUAUGUAUUGAUUACAUGUAGAAAUACGAUUUUAGGCACAUUAGGUUAAAUGAAAUGUUUUAAAAUUAAUUUCACUUCUUUAUACCUUUCUAGAAAUAUGCCUACUAGAAAAGCUAUAUUUAUAUCUGUGGCUUACAUUAUAUUUCUUUUGGACAGCCCUGAUAAGGAGGAUUAAGAUUUGUCUAGGAGUUUGGAGAACACUGGCCAGGGGACAAGCUAAGGUAGGCUCUGUCUUUUUGAAGCCUAUUUACAACAACUACAGGUAGGCCUGUAGACAAGCAAGUUCGGGGAUGGAAAUCUAGAAAAGCAUGCUCCUCUGCGGGACCCUUCUGUCCACUCCUACGGAAACAUGUACUGCUCGGACUCUUAGCCCACCCAUGAGUUCAAAGGGUUAAAAGGGACACACCAGCAAAUGCUCAAAUCCCUUCUACCGUGGCUCCAUUGAACAGGGCAUCUGCCUGCUACCUAAGGACGACAAGACACCCCGACCAUGGAAAGCUUCCCUGCCACGUCCUGUUCUCACUCAGACAUUGAAGUCGAUCAGAGGAGAAUAGAGGCCUGAUCAAGGACCCCGGUUUCCAUCUUGUGACAGCCUGUGUGUGUUGUUUGGAGACCCGAAUGACACGAUGUGCAGGAAGGUGGAUGGCAGAACUCACAGUGCCAGGUGUGAUCACAGGAGCCAAGCGAUGAUGCUGCUGCGUGUCCUCCCACACCCUUCCAGGAUGUUCUGCCGCAAACAGUGGCUGAGAGUCCCAGCCCCGGGCCAUCAUUGUCUCCUCCCUAUGGCGUUUGUGUAAGAAACACCAGACAAGUAGCGGCAUCAAAAGACAACUUUCCCUUUCUUUCUGUGUCUGUGUGUAAGUAUGAAUCCAGUUUUCAGUUUCCCCAGAGCAGAACUAAUGUCAGCCAUCAGUAGUGAAAUUUCUGAGAUCCGGCCAGCUCCAGGGGGCCAAAUUUCCGCUGAGAUCCUAAGAUCCUUGGUUUCUAAGAAGACUGGUAUGCCAUCUUGUCACUGACACCAAGCACUAUCAGCCCAUUCCGAGUGGCUGCUUCUGACCUUCUCUUUCCCUUCUGGGAAGCCAGUCACCUUCUUAUAAUAGUUGGCGAUUAACACUAAGUUCUCCUGGGUCAACUGGUCUGGACUGUGCCUUCCAGCCUCAUAACAAAGACAGGUUUUGCUAAGAAACAGAAGGUAAAUAGCAAACAGACCACUGAACCUGAUACCAGGACCAAAGGGAACAUCUCUACCUAAUUGUCCCUGUAAACAGCUUUCCCGCUUAAAAAAUAGCGUGAGGUUAGCCAGGAACACCCAAUCCUUCCUCUCAUAGAAGCAGGCUGUUCUUUUUAUUCAGUAAAUUUAGAAAAUGCACUUAAAACAUUUUUUUUAAAGUAAACAUAGGGGCACCUAGAUGGCUCAGUCGUCUGAGGGUCUGACUCUUGAUUUUGGCUCGGAUCAUGAUCCCAGGGGCAUGGGAUUGAGCCCUGCAUCGGGCUCGACGCUGAGCAUGAAGACUGCUUAAGAUUCUCUCUCUCUUCCCCUCUCUCCUGCUCGUGCUUUCUCUAAAUAUAAAAAAAAAAAAAUUUUUUUAAGGAAACAUUUAGUGCUUCUAUUUCUGUAUUUCAGGUUGUUUAGUAUAGAGGAAGGAAUAAUGCAUUUUGAAAUGAAAGGCUUGGGAUCAAGUCUGCAUUCAUUCACUCAUGCAUUUACUAUCUACCUACCUGUCAUGUGUCAAGCACUGUAUUAGGUACUUGGUGAGGGAUCAAGGGGAGGAAAACUUAUAAGAACGAGUAAUUUGUGUUGCCUGUAAUGAGAAGUCCACAUUCUAGUGAGGAAGAGAAGCAGGAACCAGAUACUGGGUACCAGAGAAAAGUCUUACAAGGGUACCAUGCAAACUCAAGGGAGAGUAUGGCUACCCAAAGUUAGACUAGGGAUGAAACCAGUGAGUCGCUGGAGGAUCACAGAUGUCACAUCCAAAUGGGUGAAUAAGAGUUCUCCAGAGAGCAAAAAGGGAGAAGGACAUUUCAGGCAGAGUAAAGAAUACACAGGGCAUGUCUUAAUAUCCCCUGAAAGAACCCAAAAUUGUUUAUUUUUGACUUUUUUAAAAUGUUUAGGUCUCUAGAGUUGGAAUAGAUUUUUAAGAGUGACCAACCUCCUCAUUUACAAACAAGGUAAGACAAAAGAAGGAAAACAUUUGGGAGAUUUUCUUAGCCAAUUUCUUUUUCUAAGAUCCAUCCUUCUCUGACUAAAGAUGAUACAUUCUCUGGGAAAGAGUAGAAUCACAUAAUUUUGAUCAUGUUCAUUUUGAUCCUGGGUUGUAACAUAAUAUAAAAUAGAAAUGUCAUAUAUAUCCAGGAAUAAGACAGUGACACUUGCGAAAUUAAUGAGAUGGAAAUUUUCAAUGAAAACAACCCUAGGUCACAUUUCUUAUUUCAGAUCUUUGGUGGAGAUCUAAUUGGCAUGUCUUGCGAGUUAAUGGUAGACAGAGAUGCCCCCUGGGAAGAUGUGUGCCUAUGCACUCGGCAGUUGCCUCCACAUGAUUCUUCUCAAAGUGAGGAUAAGAUUACAGAUAAUACCUUCUUCACAAGGUAAUGGAUCCUAGCACAGGUUAUUUCUUAAGUGAUCAUAAAUAUCUGACGUACGUAUAUUAGGACUUGAAACCCAGAAUAGAAAUCCGUAGGCGUUUUAUUAAACAGGUGCCGAGUUCCAUUUUUAAAAUUGGAAAUGUAGCUACGAAGGCUAAACACAGAAGACGUCUCUGAUUUCUUCUUCCAAUGCUCCAAGGCCAAAAGGCAGAGCAUGUUGUAAAGCAUCCUGAAUUGGAAGACACAGGUUCUAAUCUUGACCUUGUCACCUUGAACUUGGGUGAAAUAUGAUGGAAUUUAAAGCAGUAUUGAGGAGCUAUUCUAAGGCAAGUCCUUGUCUUCCCCCCUCCCCCCUUUAUUUCAGGUUAUUCGAGUAGCACGCAUCUGCUAAUUAAGUCACUGUGAUUUGAAAGCACAUUUAAGUCCUGGCUCAAGUACAUAACCUUUUCGGCCUCCGGCAUUGCUUUGGAAUUCCUGUGUCUCAACACUCCUCUAGCCAGGCCCAGAAUGUGAGUUUAUGCUGGCAAGAUACCAAGGGAUGGGCCAUUUGUUUAUCAGCGUUGCCUGGCACAGGCAAGGGUCAUUGAAGGUAGGAUGCCAAAUAUAGGUUCGCCCGUCACUCAGCCCCAUUUGCCACCUGGGUCACAGUCUCCAUCACAUCACCUGGCAUUACUCCCCGGGCCAGUCCUGGAGAUGGCCGUGUUGUCACUGAUGAAGUCGAGGGUCAUGAUUGAAAUGGGGGACAGUUUGGGGUUUCUGAAGAGGAUAGAGAAUGUGAGCUUUGCUACAUCGGUUAGGGGGAGGGUGAACUCCAGACUUUUGGAUACCCAGUUCCCAGUGAGAGACUACCUGUGUCGAUUUCUUCACGAAUAAUGCUGUGGAAACAGUUAUACUGGGAACGUGCGAUAGUGGGUGCUGGGAAAAGCAUUGGAUCAGAUGCAAGAAGCCAGAGUUCUAGUUCCGCCUUGCCUCUUCAGAGCUGUGUGAUCUGGGAAAACCAGUGAAGCUCUCUGAACUUCAGUAUCCUCUCUCUAAAAUGGGCAUAAUGUCUCAUCUGUUCCACUAUUGCUGGGAGGAUUGUGGCAGUUGAGGUACAUCGUAUCACUUUGUAAACUGUGGAGUAUUAUAAAAUGUGCAAACUAAUUAGAUCUGCAAUAACUCUAGAUUGUCACAUACCAAUCUGACCCUUCAGAAGAAUAACGAUGCUGUGUAUUUGGGCACCUCCUUCCACUGUUUGGUGCUUAUCAAGCUUAUCAACUAUGGAGCUGAAAGGUGACACCUUAGGGCAAAAAUGGGUGGGGGAGGCAAAAUGGACACUCAGUGACUCAGUUUCUUCUUUGUAGGCAUCCCUUAAAGAACGUGGGAGGGAAUCUUAGGCUACGACUUUGAGCGGACUGUUAGUGACGAUGCCAUUUUCAGCUCAGUGUUGGUUCAUGUGGUCAUCCUAUUAGAUGCCUGAUUCUCCAUGGACAUCCUUAAAGAUGAAAGGCGCGAUGUACUCUCAAUUCGGGUGGCGCGUUCACGCCACGAUGUUGGAUCUCACCAAGGAGGCUGCAUUGGUUCAGUAAAGCCACCAGGGACAUGACCUUCAUGGAAUGAUCACUGAAGUCAGCUUAAGUUAGUUACUUCAACCUCGGCCCCGCUGUCACGUGUGUCCUGGAGUGGGGAGCCGGGAAGACAGAACAGGGUCCCGAUCAGCCACGUCGGGCUCCGUGGCAUCUCCCCACAGGCUUCCAGGCCGUCACCGAGCCCUCCAGUCUCCCACUUCUUCCUCUAACAGUGCCUCCGUGGCACUUGUGAAUUCCCCUUGAAGUCAUGGAUUUCAGGAUCUGAUCUGACCUAAGAUAUCCCACGAUACCCAGACAUAAUUUGGUAUAGAGUUUAGCUGCUCACUGUACUGCUUUAUCAUACAAUACAGAGAUUGACUAGGACAUACGUAAUUCCUUUUGUUGACAAAAUACUUAGGAUCUUCCAAAAAGAAGUAGGUAACUCUCCUCUCAGCUUUCACUGCAAAUGCUCAAUAAAAUCUCACAGUAUGUUUCAGUAUGGAAAUUGGCUACAGUAGGUUGCAUUUGAAUCUGCCCACAAAAUGGAUAGUUUUACAUGUGCGUUUUAAAUAGCGCUAAGCUUUGUUCCAAAUUCAAUCUCGGAAAUAAGAGUCUAUAAUUGUUUUCAAGUUAGUUCGAAUGAUAUGAAAUGACAUUUUUUUUUAUUACAAAAGGAAAGAUACUGGUUAACCAAAAUUUUCAGAUGCUUGUUAUAGCUUGGUGUCAUUGUGAUAAUGUCGCAUCUAUGUCAUAUCAUAGAUGGUUGCCUCUUAAGGAAACUCGGGGUUUGGAGAAGGGAGAGGCAUCUUCCCGUCGGUUAUCUUCUUUGAACGAGGAUGGGAUGUGGAUACAAGUUAGGGCUUUGGAGGGAAAUAGACUGUGGUUCCAAGUCACCUCAUCGUUACAUCUGUGUGACCUUAGCUAAAUUACUUAACAUCUCUGAGCCUCACAUUCUCCUCCUCACUGAAAUAGGGAUCAAAACACCCACCUUGAAGGGUUGCUGUGGGGCUAGAUGAGAUAAGGGAUGUAAAGGACUUAGCACAACAUUCACACAUUAGGGUAAGUACUAAGUAAUAAUUGUUAUAUUCUUUUUUAAAAAAAUUUUAAUGCUUGUUUAUUUAUUUUUUUAAUGAAAUUUAUUGUCAAAUUGGUUUCCAUACAACACCCAGUACUCAUCCCAAAAGGUG